AGCAGCCGCGGUAAUUCCAGCUCCAAUAGCGUAUAUUAAAGUUGUUGCAGUUAAAAAGCUCGUAGUUGAAUUUCGGGGUUAGUAGGUUGGUCAUGCCUCUGGUCUGUACUGAUGUCACUGAUUCCUACCUGUCUGAAUAACCGGCAUGCCAUUAAUUUGGUGCGCCGGGGAAGCAGGACUGUUACCUUGAAAAAAUUAGAGUGCUUAAAGCAGGCUAACGCUUGAAUACAUUAGCAUGGAAUAAUGAAAUAGGACGUUCGAUCCUAUUUUGUUGGUUUCUAGGAUUGACGUAAUGAUUAAUAGGGAUAGUUGGGGGCAUUAGUAUUCAAUUGUCAGAGGUGAAAUUCUUGGAUUUAUUGAAGACUAACUACUGCGAAGAGCAUUUGCCAAGGAUGUUUUCAUUAAUCAAGAACGAAAGUUAGGGGAUCGAAGACGAUCAGAUACCGUCGUACUCUUAACCAUAAACUAACCGAUCUAGGGAUCGGAUGAUGUUAAUUUUUUAAUGACUCA
rnacentral:rRNA from 1 species